CUUUCCCCCAGUAAUUCCAGUAGUUCCAUCUAGAACUAAAAUGGAGUUAGAAGUCUCCCACAAGGUCCCAGGUCUCUGCUCUGAACUUGCCAGGGGUCCAGAGGCCAGUCCCAUGUCACAAUGUUGAAACUUCACAAGCCACUAAUAUACCUUCUAAUGUCCCGUUUUAUAGCCAAGAAAUCAGGCCCAACGAGAUUCGUCCAAAAGCAUCCAAUCAGCAUCCCACAUUCAGACCUACAGCCCAGGUAUCCUGAGUCUCUGCCCUACAUCUACCAGAUCCAUUCUGAAUCCUGGUUUCCUAACUUGGAAAGUAUGACUACAAAUGCAAAACCAACACAGAGUGCUAGAGACGCCCAGUGGGCCAGAGCUCAGCCUGCCAGCAGUUCCUCCAGACUCGGCUCAGAAAUAUUAUC
rnacentral:lncRNA from 1 species